CUUUCUCUAUAUUGGGGAAAAUUUUCAAGAUGGGUUAUCUACCAACUGUUGUAACUCUGACUACAUUAGUAAAAGGGCUGUGUUUUAAUCAAAAUGUUGGCAAAGCUCUAGAUUUUUAUGAUGACAUAGUGGCGAAAGGAUUUAAGUUAGAUGAAGUCACCUAUGGAAUAUUAACAAAUGGGCUAUGUAAAAUGGGAAAAACUCGAUCUGCCAUUAAAUUAUUGCAAAUGAUGGAGAAAAAUUUAGUCAAGCCUAAUGUCGUUGUCUACAGCACAAUCAUUGAUGCCCUUUGUAAAGACGGACUUGUCAAUGAUGCACACAAAUUGUAUUUGGAAAUGAUUGAUCAUGGGGUAUCUCCAAAUGUUGUUACUUAUAAUAGUCUUGUCCAUGGCUUUUGUCGCGUGGGUCAGUGGCAACAAGCAAAUGAAAUACUUGGUGAGAUGAUACCUAAAGACAUCCAUCCGGAUAAUUAUACUUUCAGCAUUCUAGUUGAUGCCUUAUGUAAAGAUGGCAGGAUUAUUGAUGCUCAAGCUGUAUUUGCUAGGAUGGUGAAAAGUGAUCAGAGACCUGAUGUUGUUACGUAUAAUGCUUUAAUGGAUGGAUAUUGUUUGACCAAUAAUAUCAUUGAGGCUAGGGAAGUAUUUAACAGGAUGAUUGAAAAUGGUUUGGCACCUACCCUUUUUAGUUAUAAUAUUUUGAUCAAUGCAUCCUUUAAGAUGAAAAUGGUGGAUGAAGCCAUGGAUCUUUUUAAGGAAUUGCAUUCUAGAAAUUUGGUUCCUAAUGUUGUCACUUAUAACUGUGUUAUUGAUGGCUUGCUCAAAUCACAAAGAAUCUCUUGUGCACAGCAUAUUAUUUAUGAGAUGCAUGAGAGGGGUCUUCGUGCUGAUAUAAUCACGUAUAAUAUCUUAUUGGAUGCAUUUUGCAAAAAAGGACAUCUUGACAAGGCAGUUACAUUAUUUAAGCAAAUUGUCAAUCAAGGAUUUCAGCCUGACAAGAAGACCUACACUGUACUUAUUGAUGGUUUGUGUAAAGGUGGCAGAUUAAAUGUUGCUUGGGAGAUUUUUCAGUAUCUUUUGGCCAAAGGUUAUCAUCUAGAUGUCCAUGUAUAUACUGCUAUGAUUCAUGGAUUUUGUAAACAGGGUUUGCUUGAUGAAGCCAAGGCCUUGCUUGAUGGAAUGGAAGGAAACGGCUUACUCCCUAACUCUGUUACUUUUGAAAUCAUUAUUCGAUAUCUUCUUGAAAACAAUGAGAAUGACAAGGCAGGGAAACUUCUACAUAGAAUGAAGGAGAUAGAGGCCUCCUGAAGAAAUAAAGCAAGAGGAAAUUGCCUCGCAGCUGCUUCUUGUUUGCUUCUAGUUCAUUAUUAGAUGCCGCAGGUCUCUGUUACAUAUAGACAUCUAGUUUCAUCUGUACCUACCAAAUCCAGCGCUACCCAGCACUUCAUAUGUUAAGGUUUGCGGACCAGUGGCUCCAAAUCCGCCUUGGGAGAUAAAGAAAUGGGAGACACGCGCGUGGAUAGUAGUGUCUGCUCUUCUUGAGUAUGCUUCUGGAGCACCAGUUCAGUUAUCAUACAAGGAGCUUCAUCGUUCAAAUAAAGGGUUCAAAGAGAAGCUUGGUGAUUGUGGAUUUGGUGCUGUUUACAGUGAAAGAACUUGAGGGCAUUGAGCAAGGUGAGAAACAGUUCAGAAUGGAGGUUGCUACUAUAAUCCGCACUCAUCAUCUCAACUUGGUGAGGCUGAUUGGGUUUUGUUCUGAAGGAAAGCAUAGGCUUUUAGUUUACGAGUUCAUGAAAAUGGGUCUCUGGACCAAUUUCUUUUUGUCAAUGAACAUCAGUCUAAGAAAUUGUUGAAUUGGCAGUAUCGAUUCAGAAUUGCCCUGUGCACUGCGACGGCUAUCACUUACCUUCGUGAGGAGUGUAGAAACUACAUUGUCCACUGUGAUACAAAACCUGAAAAUAUUCUCUUAGGUAACAAUUAA